CCUACGGGUGGCAGCAGUGGGGAAUAUUGGACAAUGGGGGCAACCCUGAUCCAGCCAUGCCGCGUGUGUGAAGAAGGCCCUCGGGUUGUAAAGCACUUUCAGUGAGGAAGAACGCCUGGUGGUUAAUACCCAUCAGGAAAGACAUCACUCACAGAAGAAGCACCGGCUAACUCCGUGCCAGCAGCCGCGGUAAUACGGAGGGUGCGAGCGUUAAUCGGAAUUACUGGGCGUAAAGCGCGCGUAGGUGGCUUGAUAAGCCGGUUGUGAAAGCCCCGGGCUCAACCUGGGAACGGCAUCCGGUACUGUCAAGCUAGAGUGCAGGAGAGGAAGGUAGAAUUCCCGGUGUAGCGGUGAAAUGCGUAGAGAUCGGGAGGAAUACCAGUGGCGAAGGCGGCCUUCUGGACUGACACUGACACUGAGGUGCGAAAGCGUGGGUAGCAAACAGGAUUAGAUACCCCAGUAGUC
rnacentral:rRNA from 1 species